GCGGAUGUGGCGGAACUGGCAGACGCGCUAGAUUCAGGUUCUAGUGCCCGAAAGGGCGUGGAGGUUCGAGUCCUCUCAUCCGCA
rnacentral:tRNA from 1 species